CGGAUUAAUUUUGCUUCUUUCCAGGGACUUGAUUUUCUACAAGUGGUACUCCAAGAGGCUCCUACACUUCAGCAGGGAGGACUCCGAGACUCCGACUGGUCACAGUCCUGCAGACCUCCAGGUCCUGCACCAGCGGCGCAGCGCUCCACUGGCCCGGAAAGCGCACACCGGCGGAAAUGAUUGGGGGCAGGAGCUGCUUUUUCAAUGAGAAGAAUGAACAGACCUAGUAGGCAUUACCUUCAGACCCAGGUAAGAGGAAUCCCAGCCUUGGGACAGCAAUUUCAAGGGCCAAGCCCAUAGGCCAUCCUUCUAGAACAUUCUCUGCAUAGCUAGGGCUUCAUGAGUCGCUUGCUGGGUUUGUCCGCCCUGGGUGGACUGUGUUGUCGGUGUGCACACCUGUAUUUCCAUGGAAUGGUCUUAGCCUGCUGCUAUAACAGAAUACCUGAGACUGGAAAAUGUAUAAACAAUAGACAUUUAUUUCUCACAGUUCUGGA